rnacentral:rRNA from 1 species
UACAGAGGUCUCAAGCGUUGUUCGGAUUCAUUGGGCGUAAAGGGUGCGUAGGCGGCGCGGUAAGUCGGGUGUGAAAUCUCGGAGCUUAACUCCGAAACUGCAUUCGAUACUGCCGUGCUUGAGGACUGGAGAGGAGACUGGAAUUUACGGUGUAGCGGUGAAAUGCGUAGAUAUCGAGAGGAACACCGGUGGCGAAGGCGGCCAACUGGACGAAUACUGACGCUGAGACACGAAAGCGUGGGGAGCAAACAGG